GACGAACGCUGGCGGCGUGCAUAACACAUGCAAGUCAAGGGGGCCGAGCAAUGGCAACCGGCGAACGGGUGCGUAACACGUAAGCGACCUGCCUCGGUGUGGGGCGAUAGCCGGCCUAACGGCCGGGUAAUUCCGCAUACGAUCCUUGAGGGGCAUCUCUCGAGGAUGAAACGAGCAAUCGGCACUGAGAGGGGCUUGCGGCCUAUCAGCUAGUUGGCGAGGAACGGCUCACCAAGGCGACGACGGGUAGCUGGUCUGAGAGGAUGGCCAGCCACAUUGGGACUGAGAAACGGCCCAGACUCCUACGGGAGGCAGCAGUGGGGAAUCUUGCGCAAUGGCCUAACGGCUGACGCAGCGACGCCGCGUGAGGGAGU
rnacentral:rRNA from 1 species